AAGACAUUUGUGAUAUGGUAUGGUAUAGGGUCACAUUGCUAAAUUGUUAUGCUGUCUAAUUCUUUAAAAAUUCACACACUCACUAAUGGUUUGCAUUAGCUUCUUUAAAAAUGUGUUAGACACAGUAGAUGUAGUGCUACACAUUUCCUUGGUGUUGCUU